rnacentral:rRNA from 1 species
CGCUCAGCGUCGGGGCGGCGAGCUUGAUCUAAAUGUCAUAACGACUCUCGGCAACGGAUAUCUCGGCUCUCGCAUCGAUGAAGAACGUAGCGAAAUGCGAUACAUGGUGUGAAUUGCAGGAUCCCGUGAACCAUCGAGUUUUUGAACGCAAGUUGCGCCCGAAGCCGUCAGGCCGAGGGCACGUCUGCCUGGGCGUCACGCA